GGAGUCGACUCAAACUUCUCCGGAGUCGACUCGGUAAACAUUGGAGUCGACUCGAAAUCCUCAGGAGUCGACUCGAAGACUAUUCUUUUGAAUUUUCCUUGAAUUUGCUCCUCCAAUUUGAAUCUUUUGAACUUGAGACUUGGGCCAAUAAAUUGUAGCUUUCUUCCAACUUUUCUUGAGUGCUUUUAGAGGCCUUCUUGUGUUCUUCCAACUUGCUAUGUUCCUUGCAACAUAAAUAUCUUUCUCCUUGCAACAUAAACAUUAGUAUCUAUACUUCAAGGUUUUGUGAUCAUCAAAAUCAAUCUAUGAAUCAAUCUUUGGGUCAUCAGUUUGAUUGUGAUCCCGAAAAAAAAAUUGGGUGGUUCUAGUCGGUGAGCCUGUAAAAACCGACCGAGUUCGUUGUGAUCUCGCAAAAAUAAUAAGUUGGGUUGUGAACUUGUAAAACAACCGGCUGUAAUCCUAGGAAUUAUAGUGAACUCCCAAGUGCGGCUUGGGGAGUGGAUGUAGGAGCAAGAGUUGGCUCCGAACCACUAUAAAGUCUCUUGUAUUUGUAUUGAUUAAUUGUCUCUUCCA
rnacentral:lncRNA from 1 species